AGCAGCCGCGGUAAUUCCAGCUCCAAUAGCGUAUAUUAAAGUUGUUGCAGUUAAAAAGCUCGUAGUUGAAUUUCGGGAUCAAUACGUCGGUCGUGCUUCGGUACGUACUAACGUCAUUGGUUUCUCCCUUCUGACGAACCAUGAUGCCAUUAAUUUGGUGUUAUGGGAAAUCAGGACUGUUACUUUGAAAAAAUUAGAGUGUUUAAAGCAGGCUCACGCUUGAAUACAUUAGCAUGGAAUAAUGAAAUAGGACGUUCGACCCUAUUUUGUUGGUUUCUAGGAUCAACGUAAUGAUUAAUAGGGAUAGUUGGGGGCAUUAGUAUUCAAUUGUCAGAGGUGAAAUUCUUGGAUUUAUUGAAGACUAACUACUGCGAAAGCAUUUGCCAAGGAUGUUUUCAUUAAUCAAGAACGAAAGUUAGGGGAUCGAAGACGAUCAGAUACCGUCGUAGUCUUAACCAUAAACUAUGCCGACUAGGGAUCGGAUGAUGUUAAUUUUUUAAUGACUCAUUCGGCGCCUUAC
rnacentral:rRNA from 1 species